UCGGUGCUUCACAGUUAAACGGGAAACAGGAGGGCCCCUUCGGGACCUAACCUGUGCUGCCCCCGCAACGGUAAGCAUCCCGUCCCGCGUGGCCACGCCGCGCGCGACACGCCGCAUCGAACCCACUGUGCCACGUCCCGCCGCAUCCUCCGGCGCCGGCGCGCAUGGGAAGGGGAUGCGGCCACGGAUGCCAGCCCGGAUACCGGCCGGCUC
rnacentral:ncRNA from 1 species